CAGAGCAGCAGGCUCAAUCCACAGGAAAGGGUUAAAGCUCCAGGGUGCAGAUCUGGCUGAAAGUCUCCCAGGUCCCCAAGAGUGGCCAGAGACUGGCCACGUGGGCUGGGCAUCUCCUCUCCGCCGUCCCCUGUAGGGCUCAUCCCAGCCUGCAGGAAAGGGCAGGCGGCUCCUCGGCCCAGCUGGACCAGAGUGGUGUGCGGGGUGUGGGGGAGCCAGGGGGGAGCCUUCUUCCCUGACUUAGCUCUCCCAGUGCCUCCCACCUCCCCUGUCCAUCCCUCUUUGGGCAGCACCAUCACGUGAUUCCUGGCUCAAAAUGGCGCUCCCCUUCCCUCCCUCCCAGGCUGGCUUCUCCAUUGUUCCAGGCUAGUGUCUCAUCCACAAUAGCCCUUUCCCUACUGCCCUUCUCAGAGGAGGGCAGCGCCUUACCAAGGGAAUUGAUUUACCUGGAAAAGGCUUAUCUUGCUUGGGGAUGCUCCCAGCCUAAGAAGGGAACUCCUGCAGAGAGGUGGGGGAGGGACAGCCAGCAGGCGGAGAGACAGGAAUCGGCCUCUGGCUCAGACUGAAGCAGAAUUCGGGCUUGGAGUUGGAAAAAGAGGGAGUUCCCAGAGAUCUGUAAUCCUGCACUGCCAUCUACCGCCUGUGCUGGUUUAUGGCCUUCAGCAACAACACUAACAUGAUGGGCUGCUUCCCUGUUUCUAGACUUCUCUCUCAGGAGAUUGGAGGAAACUUACAGGGAAAAUCUCCGAGUAUGGACCAUGUCCUGAUUAUGAGGAUCACCUAUCUGUCCUGGCAGCACAGAGAAGAAAACACGCUCCCCACUUUCAAAAUUCACAUUCUAAGAAAGAUGACAAAGGAAUCUGCCAGGAAGGAUGGAGAACCAUAGCCCAGGACAGACGUGAGAGUCUCAUGGGUUGGUUUUUCUGCUUCCCAACUUCACCAGCACAUGGGGAGAAGUAAAAAUGCAGUAAAUCAUUAUAAAAGCCCCAAGUUAGAGGAUAUUUUGGCGGAUCUCUUUGAAAAGGGAAUAUGAGUUUGGCAGACUGGAGCAUAAGUGAACAAGAAGCUGCAAGACAGUCCUAGAACCUCUCUUCCUGGUACCCCAACUUAUGAAUCUUCGCUUUCUAAAGUUGGGAAAUGUUUUGUUUUUGUACUGGGACAAAGUUGCAACACACAACCUGGAUUUUAAUGAUAUGAUAUAAGGUCUCAAAUUUCACUGGGCCAGGCCCCAGUGACUCCUCACUUCCCUUGGCUCUUGGGGUCAGGGAAGGUGUGGACUUCAGUUACAGAGAACAGAGCUGAGACCCCCACAGAGAAUGGGCUAGGUUGGGGCUUUCCUUAGUGCAUGUGACGGAUCUCUCUUCCUCAAGUUCUGUGUGGAGGCCUUACCUCUUUCUGUCCUCCUUUCCUCAGGGCUCACCAGAUGGGGAGUAUUCUUAGCUCCAUGAUUCACCCUUUUGAUUGUAAGGUGGUGAUAACAUCAAGGUGUGUAAGUAUGGUUUUAGAUUCAAUUCUAAAUUUUUAUUGGCCGAGAACGGACUUGUGAGAAAUCUAGGUCAUCUUUCCCUUUCUAAUGUUUUAAUCCUUGACCAAAUGACAAACUGUCCAUAGGACUUCUAGUAAGAUGAAAUGUGGGUCACUGCUUUAUCCCCAGGGACAAAACGCAGAGAAUAUAUUUGUUGUACACAUGAAGAAACUUAUGUGGUUGGUUCAUGCUUGAUAUUUUGCUUAAAGUCAAUCUGCAAGGUUUUCUAUUGAGCUCCCUCGUGUGUUUUAAUGCACUGCACAGGGGACAGCACACUGUCUGCAUUUCUGUCUCUGUGGUCUCGAGAUGGUGAGCCCCUCAGCCAGUGGAGAAAUAAGGACACAGGAAUACUGUCUUUCCGUUCAGUGGUCUACUGUAUACACAGCUUUCCUUCUCUGGUCUUGGCAGUUAGUUUUUGUACACCACGAGUCAGAAAUUGCAAGACUCCUGGGAUAGUUUUAUUAGCAUUAUGAUCUAUCACUGUUACCUUCAUUCUGAGUUCUUAAGGAAAUCAAGGUGCUUCAGGCAGAGCUGGGCCCCGGAAACAGGUAGUAAGUUAAGCUGUGGUGGAUUGGAAUUCAUGAAAUGAUGUCAAAUUAAUUUCAGAGUGUUCAGGCAGAGGUAAGACCCGGAGUGCCCACAGGGACGCUGGCCUCACAUCUACCCACCUCUGCACUUCAUGCCUGUGUGUUCAAUUAAACUAAAUUCGGUCUGAGGACACCUGCGUACUUUGAGUCCCUACUUGACAAACUACAACCCACCUUAGCAUGUAAACUAAUUGAAAGCCUCGGUACCUUUGUAACAACCAUCAUGGCAGCUAAGCUCAGGUGAUCAGACCAUGUUCACCUAAGGCAACUCUGAGCUGUGACGAGUCAAACUGUUCCCAAGCUUCGCUUCCAUUUUCUGUCCUUACAUGCUGCCUGCCCACGUGUACAGGGGGCUCUCUGAACCUUCUCUGGUUCUGAGGUUGUUCUACUCAUGAAUUGUUCUUUGUUCAAACUCAGUUAAAUUUAAUUUAUCUAAGGCUUUUCUUCUAACACAUGUGAUAAAUGCUUGUUAUCGGCCUUAACUUCCUCAUACAAAACAUCCCAAGGGGCCCUGUAAGUAAUGACUUACCUCUGAAAUUAUUUUUAUUUUUUCUUCCCUGGAAUUCAUUUUGUCUGUGAUAGAUCUCUGAAGAGAAAGAACAAUGAAGAAGUCAGGCAUUUAGAAGUCAAUGACAUAUUGUUCUUAACAUCAAUGCAUAUGCAUUAGACCUUAGGCGGAGAAGAAUUUCUGUCCACCGGAUACUUGCAGAUUCCAGGACUGGUGGAAAGAAGCACCAGAGGAGAAGGGGGAUGCCAGACUCCCCUGCCCCCAUGACCCUGGCUCAGGGCACACAGUCUUGAAGUCAGAUGACCUUGGUUGGAAUCCAGCUCUGGAAGGACCACAUCACACCUUCUCUCCCUUACACCUUCACCUUUCUAUCCCUGCUCACCCUCUGCCCUUGAUCUUGGUUCUCAUUUUCCUAAGCAAAGAGAUGAGAUCAGGGAGGGACCCAAAUCCGCCUGUUAUUACCCACCAUGAGAAUCAGGUUAGCAUCUGCCUGUCACCACUAGAAUGUGUUUGUAACCAGGCAGAAACAGUAUUUUCUUCAUUAUUUACACCCAGAGCCUUGGACCACAGCACACGCACAGACCUCAGUUUAUAUUUAUCUGAUGAAUGCCUAAGUUACUACUGAUUGGCUGCCUCUUCAUGGCCAUGUUCUGGAACCCUUUAGAGCCUUCCUCUUGGUGCUAUGAGAGAACACGUGGAGGAACACCAAGCUCAGGCCUAAUAUCCCGGAAUCUUCCCAGGACUUGGUCAGGUAAGCAGCUUGUCUGAGGUGUUCAAGGUCUCCCGGACCCUCCCGAGGAAUUAGCAUGGAAAAGGGAAAGGAUCUGAAAUUCUGUUGUCUUCCACACAGACUCCUCACAAGGUAUAAAAAGCAGAAGGGAGAAAGGGGAAAUACCAGGGAAUGAUAUUGGCCAAAUUAUAUUGUUACAAAUAGGCAACGACAAACCUCACCAUUAUGUUCAACUAUGAUGCACCGAUAAGAAAACCAGAAGAGAAAUGAGAAACUAGAUCAGGGGGAAAAAAAAGUUGAGAGGGUAAUCAAUAGCAGAUGAAUGGGGACUGCUAAAGGAAAAGAAAGCUCUCAAUAAACUGCUCUGGUCAUUAUUAACUGGAAAAGAAAAAAGAACUGUGAAGUAUUUUAGCACGUAAAAAAUGAUUCUCUCUAAAUAAAUAUAUUACACAUGGAAGAAAGAAAUAGAUGUGAAAAAUGUAUCGGGAUUGUUUUUUUCUACACAUGCUUUCCUGAUCAUUACCUUUGAAUGUGUUUCUAAGGAAAUCAAAUGACACCAGAAUUUAUUUUUCUCAUGAACACUGUUGCUAAGAAGAGAUAAAUCCACACCACUCAACUUUAACAUGCCACUUAUCAUCACUGUUUGCAUUGGGCACUUAUUAAUAUAUUCUUAUUGGCAACAUCAAAACAGGACCUGUAAUUUAUUGCACACUUAUUUUGUGCUUUCUUUAGAUAUAUGUCCUCUUUAUUCCCUACAAUAACUCUGCUGGCUUAGUAGUACAUGCCCCAAUUUAUACAAGAGGAAACUAAGACUGAUGUGUUUUAGGAUUUGCUCAAGGUCAUAGUUAUUGACUGUCACACUCAGAAUUUGAUUGGGCAAAGGAGGGAUGGAGAGCAUGGGGGCAGGAAAGAUGGUGGAAUGAGAUGGACAUCAUUACACUAGGUGUGACGCUACACCGUGUACAACCAGAGAAAUGGAAAGUUGUGUUGCAGUUGUGUACAAUGAAUCAAAAUGCAUUCUGUUGUCAUAUAUACCUAAUUACAAUAAAUAAAUAAAUAAGAAUUUGACCUCAAGAGUGUGAUCCAAAAUCCUCCCCAUUCGCUGCCACCUCUGUCUCACCAUUUAGUCUUACUUUUGCCAUGUUAUUAGUAACUACUCUAGGCUAGUCUAUUAUUCUGGAAAUAUUUACCAUUGAAAGCUGUGAAGCUUUGUACAAGCGAUAAAGGGCUUAGGCUAUGUUAGGUCAAUGAUUUAUU